UACGUAGGGUGCAAGCGUUGUCCGGAAUUAUUGGGCGUAAAGAGCUCGUAGGCGGUCUGUCGCGUCUGCUGUGAAAACUCAGGGCUUAACCCUGAGCUUGCAGUGGGUACGGGCAGACUAGAGUGCGGUAGGGGAGACUGGAAUUCCUGGUGUAGCGGUGAAAUGCGCAGAUAUCAGGAGGAACACCGGUGGCGGAAGGCGGGUCUCUGGACCGUAACU
rnacentral:rRNA from 1 species